CCUACGGGGUGCAGCAGUGGGGAAUAUUGGGCAAUGGGCGCAAGCCUGACCCAGCAAUGCCGCGUGAAGGAAGAAGGCUUUCGGGUUGUAAACUUCUUUGACAGGGGAAGAGCAGAAGACGGUACCCUGAAAACAAGCCACGGCUAACUACGUGCCAGCAGCCGCGGUAAUACGUAGGUGGCAAGCGUUGUCCGGAUUUACUGGGUGUAAAGGGCGUGUAGCCGGGAAGGCAAGUCAGAUGUGAAAUCUGGAGGCUCAACCUCCAAAUUGCAUUUGAAACUGUUUUUCUUGAGUACUGGAGAGGUAGACGGAAUUCCUUGUGUAGCGGUGAAAUGCGUAGAUAUAAGGAGGAACACCAGUGGCGAAGGCGGUCUGCUGGACAGCAACUGACGGUGAGGCGCGAAAGCGUGGGGAGCAAACAGGAUUAGAUACCCCAGUAGUC
rnacentral:rRNA from 1 species